CCUGGUGGCGAGUGGCGAACGGGUGAGUAAUAUAUCGGAACGUGCCCAGUCGGUGGGGAUAACGUAGCGAAAGCUACGCUAAUACCGCAUACGAUCUAUGGAUGAAAGCGGGGGAUCGCAAGACCUCGCGCGAUUGGAGCGGCCGAUAUCAGAUUUAGGUAGUUGGUGAGGUAAAGGCUCACCAAGCCGACGAUCUGUAGCUGGUCUGAGAGGACGACCAGCCACACUGGGACUGAGACACGGCCCAGACUCCUACGGGAGGCAGCAGUGGGGAAUUUUUGGACAAUGGGCGCAAGCCUGAUCCAGCAAUGCCGCGUGCAGGAUGAAGGCCUUCGGGUUGUAAACUGCUUUUGUACGGAACGAAACGGUGAGCUCUAAUACAGUUUGCUAAUGACGGUACCGUAAGAAUAAGCACCGGCUAACUACGUG
rnacentral:rRNA from 1 species